GCAGGAUUGGUCUAGUUGGUUAUGACGCGCCCUUCACACGGGUGAGGUCGCCAGUUCGAUUCUGGCAUUCUGUC
rnacentral:tRNA from 1 species